rnacentral:rRNA from 1 species
GCAAGUCGAACGGACGAAUAAGAGCUUGCUCUUAUAAGUUAGUGGCGCACGGGUGAGUAAUAUAUAGCUAAUCUGCCUCUUAGUAGAGGAUAACAGUCGGAAACGAUUGCUAAUACUCUAUACUUCUGCUUUACAUAAGUAAAGUAGAGAAAGUUUUUCGCUAAGAGAUGAGGCUAUACUGUAUCAGCUAGUUGGUAAGGUAACGGCUUACCAAGGCUAUGACGCAUAACUGGUCUGAGAGGAUGAUCAGUCACAUUGGAACUGAGACACGGUCCAAACUCCUACGGGAGGCAGCAGUAGGGAAUAUUGCGCAAUGGGGGAAACCCUGACGCAGCAACGCCGCGUGGAGGAUGACACUUUUCGGAGCGUAAACUCCUUUUAUCGGGAAAGAAUAAUGACGGUACCCGAUGAAUAAGCACCGGCUAACUCCGUGCCAGCAGCCGCGGUAAUACGGAGGGUGCAAGCGUUACUCGGAAUCACUGGGCGUAAAGGGUGCGUAGGUGGAUUAUCAAGUCUCUUGUGAAAUCUAAUAGCUUAACUAUUAAAUUGCUUGGGAAACUGAUAGUCUAGAGUAGGGGAGAGGCAGAUGGAACUCUUGGUGUAGGAGUAAAAUCCGUA